UUUAUUUAGAUUAGAUGGGUCAAAUUCGGGUAAAGAUGGGUCCCGGCCCGACCCACUUAAUAAUCACCGCCUUCACCGGACAGCCUAUAAAUAUAUGAUGAUUCCGCCUCCACUUUAUCUCCAAAUUUCGCUCCGCUAAUUUUGGAAUCGUUCGCGUAAUUCUGAGGCUAUUCCGUAAACCCUGUUUUCGCUCGUUGCUCUGUUUCUUCGGAUUGUACCAAUCUGAACUUGCUGUAGAAGAAGGAGUCUAAU